CACGUCUGGAGACAACCCCUUGGGAAAAAUACCAGAGAGCUCAAGUUUCUUAGAGAGGAAAGACAGAGAAGAAGCUUUCGGACCACACGCAGAGUUAAAGAGGAGAUAAAAGAGACCCAGAGUGGUUCCGACUGGGCCCAGAGUGAAAGAAGGAACAGAAGGUCCAGUUCAUUUACCACAAGCUACGUCUGGUUUCCCAUCCAGGGCUGACCAGGACCACCCCUUCUUAGCUUCAAAGGCAAAUCUGCAGUGGGAUGCCUCUGUGUUAUGUUGCUGGAAUGAAUAUGUUGAAACUUGCAACUGGAAAAAAGGCAAUGAACGCAAAGGCCAGGGUAACAACUAAAGAUAGGAAAAUUGCAAGAAAGAGGGAGGCAUUUUAUUUAAUUGUGUUAUCAGAAAAAC
ensembl:lncRNA